rnacentral:rRNA from 1 species
GCUUUAUAUGUUAUUCAAAUUUGAUUAAUCUAAAAGUUUAAAAGUUGAAUUUGAUUAUCUUAUUUUGUUGGGGCGAUGUGAGUAGAAUUUUUAUAACUGCUUAUAAUAAAAACAAUUAUAAAUGUUUCAUAUAUGUAUGAUCCUUUUAUUAAAGAUUAAAAGACCAAGUU